GAUGAACGCUGGCGGCGUGCCUAAUACAUGCAAGUCGAGCGAACAGACGAGGAGCUUGCUCCUCUGACGUUAGCGGCGGACGGGUGAGUAACACGUGGAUAACCUACCUAUAAGACUGGGAUAACUUCGGGAAACCGGAGCUACUACCGGAUAAUAUAUUGAACCGCAUGGUUCAAUAGUGAAAGACGGUUUUGCUGUCACUUAUAGAUGGAUCCGCGCCGCAUUAGCUAGUUGGUAAGGUAACGGCCUACCAAGGCAACGAUGCGUAGCCGACCUGAGAGGGUGAUCGGCCACACUGGAACUGAGACACGGUCCAGACUCCUACGGGAGGCAGCAGUAGGGAAUCUUCCGCAAUGGGCGAAAGCCUGACGGAGCAACGCCGCGUGAGUGAUGAAGGUCUUCGGAUCGUAAAACUCUGUUAUUAGGGAAGAACAAAUGUGUAAGUAACUAUGCACGUCUUGACGGUACCUAAUCAGAAAGCCACGGCUAACUACGUG
rnacentral:rRNA from 1 species